rnacentral:ncRNA from 2 species
AUGGAUCUUCGGGGUAGGUGAAAUUCCUAACCGGCGGUGAAAGUCCUUCUAUCUUUGAAUGAACUUAAGCCCGCGACUCGCCAUUUUGAAUAAGAAAUGGUGACUGACUUGGUGAGAUUCCAAGGCCGACGGUAAAGUCCGGAUGGGAGAAGAUCAAG